AGGAAGGUGAGAACUUGGUUUCAUUCUCUUGUUAGAUAAACCUGCCAUCUGCCAACCCGGGGUGGUCCCCCACGCUGGCGGACAGUUUCAAGUUACACCCGGGAAGCUCCCGAGGCUGCACGCUCACACGUCCAGACCCUAUCCGAAUGAAACAGGGUAAAACGUGUACGCUUAGCGUCAGCUAGAGCCGGGCGGUUUGCCCGAAAGCGCAAUGCAAACUGGAGUCGGCGGCAGCAGGCCCGCGCUCUUGCCGACUACACCCAGAUGCCGGCAGGAACCCUGCAGCGCAGAGAGUGUAAACCGACACCCGGCAGACCGAUGUCUGUCUCGACUGUGUUUUCAGUGAGGGAUGCUGUGCCAGCUGCCAGGGUCCUGCUCUCGGCCCCGCAUUCUCCCGUUUCCUGCUCUGCGGGAUGGAGCUGGGCCCUUGCGCACUCCUCCUCCGCCUGCAGAAGGUGCCGGCCGGGAGGUCGUGCGAUUUGGAGUCAGGUGCCAGGCCGGCCCUUGCCUUCCCAGGACUCGGGGAGGUGGUCAGAGCGAGGGCGCCCGAGUCCUUGGGAAGUAUUUAGCGAUUUCGCUUGAAAAGGGCAGAGACGGGAAUUCUGAAAGCAAAGGGGUCCUCCCGUUACUUGGAAGAGGGCCGCCCCACAUCUUUCCUUCGCGAGGCCGCCCCUGGCUUCGUUGCUCACAGAGCCCGCUUUCUCGCCGCCCGGGGCCCCGUCCACGACCGGGUUGGCAGGCUCGCGGCGCGCCUGGCCGCACCGAGCACUAGCCUUGAACUCCGUCCCCACCGGGACCUCCGAGGCGCGCGGCAGCCGCCCUCCAGGCCGCGCCCAGAGACCCCCUGACGUCACCUGUCACCUCCCCCGGCGGCGCGCGGCAGCGGGGCGCGGGCCGCGUGACGCCGCCGGCGGCCUCGGGAGGGCUGCGUGAUGACGCAGGCGCACGGCGCGUGUGGCGUAUGUGGCGGCAGUCAUGGCGGACGGGGUCGACGAGGUCUGGUUUCGGCGGGACCCUCCCGGGCGUCGGCUUCAUCCGAGGCCAUCGAGGAUCCCAGGCGGGGCCCGCCAUCUGCUAAGGCUGGAGUGCGCUGACGGGUAGAAGAACGUGGGAGAAAGGAUGUUUUGUGCAGUGACGCCCCGGCACGGGUAACCCCUGGGACCGGUCGAGGCCUCCAGCAGACCCAGGCCCCUCCUGUGUCCAAGCCCAGGCGCUGAACACGCCGGCCUUCACACAGCCACCCUCAGGAGACACUUCUUUUCCGUGCCGCGGACGCCCGGAGGUGGAGGCUCGCCGUGCUGGAGCGCCAGGGAGGCUGCGGCGGGACUGGGGCCCGGGCCUUUGCCCCCGCCUCUCUGAGCGGGUUCCGGUCCUGGCCGGCUCGCCUUCUGCAGGGAGUCUGGGGUUGCCGGCACUGGGCUGGGGUCUGGGGGGCUCAGGGCCUGGCGUCUGACUGACCCUCUCUGAGCCGUGAGCGGACGCUGCUUCUUCCGCCUGCUGCCAGAACAAGGACCCGGGCCCCUCCAGCGUUUCCUGGAUGAGAAACAAGGGGCGUUUAAUAAAGAGACUCGAUGUGU